GACGAACGCUGGCGGCGUGCUUAACACAUGCAAGUCAAGGACCGUAGCAAUACGGGACUGGCGCACGGGUGCGGAACACGUAGGCAAUCUGCCCUUCAGGGGAGAACAACCAGCCGAAAGGUCGGCUAAAUCUCCGUAAAAUCAUAGAGUGGCAUCACUUAUUGAUCAAGUUUUCUGAAGGAUGAGCCUGCGUCUGAUUAGCUAGUUGGCGGGUAACGCCCACAAGGCUACGAUCAGUAGCUGGUCUGAGAGGAUGAUCAGCCACAUUGGGACUGAGAUACGGCCCAGACUCCUACGGGAGGCAGCAGUGAGGAAUAUGCUCAAUGGGGGAAACCCUGAAGCAGCAACGCCGACGUAAAGGA
rnacentral:rRNA from 1 species